UGCGAAAAAAAAUUUUCGGUGGAAAAAAAAUUUCGGUGGAAAAUUUUUUUUACGUAGUUUAGUGUUUGGUUUGUAGGAAAAGAAAAAUAGUUUUUGAUGAUAGUUGUUUGGUUGAAAAAAAAAAAAAAGUAGAUGGAAAACUAUUUAAUAUAUUUUUUAUUAUAUAUUAUUAUUAUUAUUAUUAUAUAAUAAUAAUUAAUAUACUAUAUAUAUUAUUUUUAUAUAUAGAUUAAAUAUAUUUAAAAUUAUAAUAAAUAUAUUAUAUAAUAUAUAAGUAGUAUUCCUGAGGUUUGGAUAAGAUUGGCUACAGUAUUAAUGACUGGUCGACACAUCUGGUGAGCGUCGGAUUGAGUCGGAGUUGUUUCUGCACGAAAUGGAUGUAGAAAUGGAUUUGGCGCACUCAAAGGAG
rnacentral:lncRNA from 1 species